GACGAACCGUGCGAACGUUAUUCGGAAUCACUGGGCUUAAAGCGCGUGUAGGCGGGACGGCACGUCGGCCGCUGAAAGCCCCGGGCUCAACCCGGGAGGGUCGCGGCGAACUGGGAGGCUUGAGGCCGGUAGAGGUGGGUGGAACUCCUGGUGGAGUGGUGAAAUGCGUAGAGAUCAGGAAGAACACCCGUGGCGAAGGCGGCCCACUGGGCCGGUGCUGACGCUGAGGCGCGAAGGCGUGGGGAGCGAACGGG
rnacentral:rRNA from 1 species